UGGGGAAUUUUGACAAUGGGCGAAAGCCUGAUCCAGCAAUGCCGCGUGUGUGAAGAAGGCCUUCGGGUUGUAAAGCACUUUUGUCCGGAAAGAAAUCCUUGGCUCUAAUACAGUCGGGGGAUGACGGUACCGGAAGAAUAAGCACCGGCUAACUACGUGCCAGCAGCCGCGGUAAUACGUAGGGUGCAAGCGUUAAUCGGAAUUACUGGGCGUAAAGCGUGCGCAGGCGGUUUGCUAAGACCGAUGUGAAAUCCCCGGGCUCAACCUGGGAACUGCAUUGGUGACUGGCAGGCUAGAGUAUGGCAGAGGGGGGUAGAAUUCCACGUGUAGCAGUGAAAUGCGUAGAGAUGUGGAGGAAUACCGAUGGCGAAGGCAGCCCCCUGGGCCAAUACUGACGCUCAUGCACGAAAGCGUGGGGAGCAAACAGGAUUAGAUACCCUGGUAGUCCACGCCCUAAACGAUGUCAACUAGUUGUUGGGGAUUCAUUUCCUUAGUAACGUAGCUAACGCGUGAAGUUGACCGCCUGGGGAGUACGGUCGCAAGAUUAAAACUCAAAGGAAUUGACGGGGUCAUAGCUGUUUCCU
rnacentral:rRNA from 1 species